UUCUCUGCUUUCUCUCUCUAUUUCUCUCGACUCCUCCCCCUCUCCAUUUCUUCCUCUUUCACAUUUCUCUCAAUUAAUUAUCUUUGAUUUCCCCCUUCUUCCAGUCGUAUAAUUCCAAUUCCAAAUUCUUAUUUUCUCCGCCGUACUAGUCGCCGGCCGACGACCUGAAAGUCGCCGGAUUUCGCCCCCUUCCGGCAAUCCGAUCGAAAUUAUUAUUUUCCCUCUUUUAGCCCUUUUUUUUUCUUUUUGCUCUCUGUUCUUGAUUGACAGUGAUAUCUUACCUUUCCGGAUAAUUUAUUUCUUUUCACCCCUAUAUCUACUGUUUUUUACCUUUUUAACCGCUGUCUUGUAUUUUGUUUUCACCUGAUUAAAAAGGGCCAAAGGGUUUGGGGGAAAAGAAAUUAAUUUUGUUCUAUUUAUUUAUUUGUUUCCUCCUUUUUUUUUCUUCCCCCGAUAAUUUCCCCGCUGGGGUUAGAUUCGGAUUUAAGCCAGUGGCUGACGUGGCAUGCAUCGAAACGACAGCGAUGAACACCAAAACGAUGCGUCUCCCUCCCCGGCGCAAUUUGGCGUCAAACAAGCGUAAGGAAAGAGAUGAUCCCUCCGACUCUUACAAGCCGCCGACACCAGCGGCUCCACCUCCGCCACCGUUUGCCACAGUGAAGCCAUUGGGUAAGCCGGUUACCGAUCCGAACGGUUCGGAUAAAUUGGUCGAACCGGCCGGGUCUAAUAAUCAGAUUCUAGCCGGUUACUUAGCCCACGAGUUUCUUACAAAGGGCACACUCCUGGGUCAACCGUGGGACCCAAAAGAGAGCCUGCCCGUGCCCUCCUCCGUAACCCUAGAAGGGAAGAAGCUGAAGCCGAGCCAGAGAGGGACAGCCGCCGCCGAGCCGAUGAUUGUUGAGGAUAAAGAGAAGAUGAGAGAGAGGGGCGUGGGAUGAGAGAGAGGUACGUGGAGGUUUCGAAAUUGCUGAAGACGAAAGGGGCCCACUUCCCGGGCAUUGUUAACCCUACCCAGCUCGCCCGCUUCUUACAAAUGUGAAGGAAAGGCGUGUUCUUGCAACGUGGCCGGAGAUGAUUGGGCCAACACCCACCCGAACCAAACCGAAAAGAGAGAGAUUCAGUUCGAAUUUCAAAGGCGGCCGGAGAUCGAUCGACAUACAAAUGAAAUGGCAGAGAGAAACCCUCGCUCUGGUUUUGGGGUAUGUAGAGGAGCGAUGAAAUGUGCUAUCCUGUUUCAUUAUAAAUUAUUUCGUCGUUUGUGGUUUUUUUUGUUGUUGUUUUGUAGAUCUGGAAUUCAUUCUUUUUCUUAAGCUGUAUAAACAUAAAUGUUUGUGAUGGAAAUGAAUGCCCAAUGUAAAGAAUCUAUACCAGUUGUUUGAUGAUGAAUGAACAAUAUGAAUCUGUCAGAGGAGGAGGAGCUGGGUUUUGCAUGUACUAGUUUAUAACUUAUAAGUGGAUCGAUUAUACCGAGAAUUUUUGAAUUUUCUCCUUUAGAUUCCUUGGAUUUUCCUCUUUCUUUGUGGGCUUAUGGAAACGAAAGGAUACUCAAUUGGCGAUCUUUUUAGAAGAUCUACAGCCAUGGGGGAGGACUGGUUCGGUUAGGGAUGACUGUACAGAGCAGCAGAGGAAUAAUUUCAUUCGUCUGAAAGUACUCUGCCUGCACUGAAAGAUGCGUUUGAGUGCGUAGUUGCAUUAAAAGCAGAGUGAAAGAUGC
rnacentral:lncRNA from 1 species